rnacentral:miRNA from 1 species
AUGGUCUUGAUGACCGGAAGGGAUUCCUUCCGGUCAUCAAGACCAUGCAAUCUCGAUGGCCGGAAGGGAUUCCUUCCGGUCAUCGAGACUGU